rnacentral:rRNA from 1 species
CCAGUAGAACUUUCCAGAGAUGGAUUGGUGCCUUCGGGAACUCUGAGACAGGUGCUGCAUGGCUGUCGUCAGCUCGUGUUGUGAAAUGUUGGGUUAAGUCCCGCAACGAGCGCAACCCUUUAUCCUUUGUUGCCAGCGGUUAGGCCGGGAACUCAAAGGAGACUGCCAGUGAUAAACUGGAGGAAGGUGGGGAUGACGUCAAGUCAUCAUGGCCCUUACGAGUAGGGCUACACACGUGCUACAAUGGCGCAUACAAAGAGAAGCGACCUCGCGAGAGCAAGCGGACCUCAUAAAGUGCGUCGUAGUCCGGAUUGGAGUCUGCAACUCGACUCCAUGAAGUCGGAAUCGCUAGUAAUCGUAGAUCAGAAUGCUACGGUGAAUACGUUCCCGGGCCUUGUACACACCGCCCGUCACACCAUGGGAGUGGGUUGCAAAAGAAGUAGGUAGCUUAACCUUCGGGAGGGCGCUUACCACUUUGUGAUUCAUGACUGGGGUGAAGUCGUAACAAGGUAAGCGUAGUGCU